rnacentral:rRNA from 1 species
AGCGAACGCUGGCGGCAGGCUUAACACAUGCAAGUCGAGCGCUCGUAGCAAUACGAGAGCGGCAGACGGGAGAGUAACACGUGGGAACGUACCCUUUGGUUCGGAACAACACAGGGAAACUUGUGCUAAUACCGAAUAAGCCCUUACGGGAAGAUUAUCGCCAAAGGAUCGGCCCGCGUCUGAUUAGCUAGUUGGUGGGGUAAUGGCCACCAAGGCGACGAUCAGUAGCUGGCUGAGAGGAUGACCAGCCUCAUUGGGACUGAGACACGGCCCAAACUCCUACGGGAGGCAGCAGUGGGGAAUAUUGGACAAUGGGCGCAAGCCUGAUCCAGCCAUGCCGCGUGGAUGAUGAAGGCCUUAGGUUGUAAAGUCC